AAGUCGUAACAAGGUUUCCGUAGGUGAACCUGCGGAAGGAUCAUUAUUGAAUGAACUUGACUUGGUUGCUGCUGGUCUUUUCGAAGGCAUGUGCACACUUUGUCGUCUUUAUAUCUCCACCUGUGCACCUUUUGUAGACCUGAAACCAAAUUUCCGAGGCAACUCGGUCGUGAGGAAAUGCUUAACCGCUUUCCUUGUUAGGUUCCAGGGCUAUGUUUUCAUAUACACCAUAAGAAUGUAACAGAAUGUCAUUAUUAGGCUUAGUUGCCUUAUAAACUAUAUACAACUUUCAGCAACGGAUCUCUUGGCUCUC
rnacentral:misc_RNA from 1 species